GACUUAGCUCGAAUCCAUAGUUUCGAUUCCAUUCAUCAAACAAGUCUCUGGGUUAAGCGCGCAAAACCAAUGAUUCCGAGUUGUUUAUUGUUCGCAGUGAAGGUGAAUUCUUCUUUUACAAGGUAAUAUCCAAGCAUUUACUUGAAGAGACUGAGAAAAACCACAGGAAGCCUGUCAGGAUAUCCAGUCUCUGGGCUGGGAUUUGAACUUAAGACCUGAAUACAAAACAGGAGUGCUAACCAGUAGUCUUAAUGGACAUGAAAUGAUUUUACCAGAAAUGCCGAUCCUGUUCAUUCCAGUGCAUCCAAAGAACUCAUGUUGAAUAUGGGGAAGUGUUAACAAUUCAUACUGCAGUGAAUGAAAUAUACUUAUCUGUUAACAGGUUUAAUUCAGAUAAAAGUUUGAUCAUA